rnacentral:pre_miRNA from 1 species
AAGAACAGGAUGAGGUAGAUAAACAGGUUAAGGAGUGGCUGGAACAAGGAGUUAUUCGGGUAAGCUUUUCUGAAUAUACUAGCCCAAUUGUUCUU